GACGAACGCUGGCGGCGUGCCUAAUACAUGCGAGUCGAACGCUGAAGCGAGGAGCUUGCUCUUCUUGGAUGAGUUGCGAACGGGUGAGUAACGCGUAGGUAACCUGCCUUGUAGCGGGGGAUAACUAUUGGAAACGAUAGCUAAUACCGCAUAACAAUGGAUGACACAUGUCAUUUAUUUGAAAGGGGCAAUUGCUCCACUACAAGAUGGACCUGCGUUGUAUUAGCUAGUAGGUUAGGUAAUGGCUCACCUAAGCGACGAUACAUAGCCGGCCUGAGAGGGUGAACGGCCACAAUGGGACUGAGGCAAGGCCCCAGACCCCUACGGGGGCAGCAAGAGGGGAAUUUUCGGAAAGGGGGGAAACCCUGACGGAGCAAGGCGAGGGGGGGAAGGAGGGUUUCGGGUCGGAAAGACCCUUUGAAUGUGGAGGAAGGGAGGGAGAGGGAAAAGUGCACGCUGUGACGGUAGCUAACCAGAAAGCGACGGCUAACUACGUG
rnacentral:rRNA from 1 species